CGAUGGAUCUUUCUCUAUAUGUUAGGAAGAAUGCUGUUCUUGUGCUCUCCCAUCUCAUAUUGAAUGAUAUGAUGAAGGUGAUUAACCAUCUUAGACCUGAAUACUUAGAAGAUGAAAUGGACACCUUCCAGGGUGUGGAUGAUUGGGAUGUUCCCUGUGGAGAAUUACGUGGAGAAUCUCCUAAUUGAAGCCAUGAG